rnacentral:snRNA from 1 species
GCUCACUUCAGAAGAACAUAUACUAAAACUGGAAUGCUACAGAGAAGAUUAGCACAGCCCCUGUGCAAGGAUGACACGCAAGUUUGUGAAGCAUUCACAUUACAA